UACAGAGGUCUCAAGCGUUGUUCGGAUUCAUUGGGCGUAAAGGGUGUGUAGGCGGUUUUCUAAGUCUGGUGUGAAAUCUCCCGGCUCAACUGGGAGGGUGCGCCGAAAACUGGAAGGCUAGAGUGCGGGAUGGGAGAGUGGAAUUCCUGGUGUAGCGGUGAAAUGCGUAGAUAUCAGGAGGAACACCUGUGGUGUAGACGGCUCUCUGGACCGCAACUGACGCUGAGACACGAAAGCGUGGGUAGCAAACAGG
rnacentral:rRNA from 1 species